rnacentral:rRNA from 1 species
GACGAACGCUGGCGGCGUGCCUAAUACAUGCAAGUAGAACGCUGAAGAGAGGAGCUUGCUCUUCUUGGAUGAGUUGCGAACGGGUGAGUAACGCGUAGGUAACCUGCCUUGUAGCGGGGGAUAACUAUUGGAAACGAUAGCUAAUACCGCAUAACAAUGGAUGACACAUGUCAUUUAUUUGAAAGGGGCAAUUGCUCCACUACAAGAUGGACCUGCGUUGUAUUAGCUAGUAGGUGAGGUAAUGGCUCACCUAGGCGACGAUACAUAGCCGACCUGAGAGGGUGAUCGGCCACACUGGGACUGAGACACGGCCCAGACUCCUACGGGAGGCAGCAGUAGGGAAUCUUCGGCAAUGGGGGCAACCCUGACCGAGCAACGCCGCGUGAGUGAAGAAGGUUUUCGGAUCGUAAAGCUCUGUUGUAAGUCAAGAACGAGUGUGAGAGUGGAAAGUUCACACUGUGACGGUAGCUUACCAGAAAGGGACGGCUAAACUACGU